rnacentral:rRNA from 1 species
AAUGCCGGAUGCUCCAUCACACCGCAUGGUGUGUUGGGAAAGCCUUUGCGGCAUGGGAUGGGGUCGCGUCCUAUCAGCUUGAUGGCGGGGUAACGGCCCACCAUGGCUUCGACGGGUAGCCGGCCUGAGAGGGCGACCGGCCACAUUGGGACUGAGAUACGGCCCAGACUCCUACGGGAGGCAGCAGUGGGGAAUAUUGCACAAUGGGCGCAAGCCUGAUGCAGCGACGCCGCGUGAGGGAUGGAGGCCUUCGGGUUGUAAACCUCUUUUGUUAGGGAGCAAGGCACUUUGUGUUGAGUGUACCUUUCGAAUAAGCACCGGCUAACUACGUGCCAGCAGCCGCGGUAAUACGUAGGGUGCAAGCGUUAUCCGGAAUUAUUGGGCGUAAAGGGCUCGUAGGCGGUUCGUCGCGUCCGGUGUGAAAGUCCAUCGCUUAACGGUGGAUCCGCGCCGGGUACGGGCGGGCUUGAGUGCGGUAGGGGAGACUGGAAUUCCCGGUGUAACGGUGGAAUGUGUAGAUAU